UAAGUGGUCAGUGCACGUUUCUAAAGGCAUCUAUUCUGUUGGGAGGUUCUUGUUGAAACAUGGACUGGACUGGAUAUGGUAGCUGUGAUGGUAGCACCAACUGUCAGUUUAUAGGCUUUAGGUAGCAAGCCUCUCUCUGCUCAUGUCUUUUGGGCAGUUUCUAGAUUAGGUCCAUUGAGGUUGGAAGACCCACCCCGACUGGGGGCUUGAGUUAAAUCAUCAGUUAAAUCUCUCUUGAGACACACCUAGAGGUAUGUUUUCAUGAUGAUUCUAAGUCUAGUCUACUCAUUUGCCCAUAAAAAAAAACUACAGGCUUUUAUAUUCAAAAUAAACCAUAAAGGAAGAUAUCAGGGGCUUUCUACUUGCUAGAAAUGCUCAUUCACUGAAAAGAUAUAUCAAUGAAAAUUCACUUCACUAUUUUAAGUAUGAACAUCAACAUGCCAUAUAGAUCAGCCUUCCUAAAAGAAGGAUAAUGAGAGCCAGUAAGCACCCAGGAACCCAGCCAGACAUCCAGCUAAGACAAGGUGUACUUAGAUAGCCAGCACAUUCUAGACCUCUAGAGCAUAGACCUCUAGGCUAAGGCAAGUCCAGCACCAUGUCACCUGCCGUAAUUUAAACCCAUGACCCAAGCUAUGAUGCACAAAGAAGCUGAGCUGUUAGACUGUCCUUUCACUGUAAUAGUAAGGCAAUGGCUCUCAGACACCAGCAGUGGGCCUGCCAAGUGUUCAUCUUCUGGUCAACUUGUGAGAAAGGCCAUCAUUGAGGUUUGACAAGAAGCUAGAGUUCACUGAAAGAGUGGGAACAAUAUUUGUUUUUCAUAAUUAACUUAAUUAACUUGAUGAAACAUUUACAUAAUUCUGACAGUAAGAAUUCAGAAGGAUACAGAGUGGAAAGCCACUCUUCGAUCUGUAACAGGACCCUCCAUCAGUCCUCAUUCCUACUAAGAGCUGUUUCCCAUUCGUGGAUAUUGUCUGCCUAUCAGGUCAACAGAUACAAUGUUUCUAGUGUCUUUGGUUUUCCAUCAAGCAUACUCUGUUGUGCACACUGUCCUGUGACUCAUCAUUUUCAUCAAAUAGCUGUGACAAUAAAUAGACAAAUAAAAACAAAUAGAUAAAUAAACAAAUAAGAAAGAAGAGUUCCUCCUUACACAGUUAUCUCAAGUCUAAAACUGAUCCAGGAGCUCUGUCUCUGACAAAUGGUAGACACUGGGUGGUUAUGAGUAAACAUUACGUGUGGUUUGGGGAAAGUGUGCUGGGAUUUAGGGCACUUCUUAGAAUGCCUAGCUACUUAUACCCUUUCUGCGCAGCGUAACACGUGCGUCCUAACCCUGCUGUCACUCACAUGACAGUUCCAAUUGGUUAAGGAAUGAGAAUAGCUUCUGUUUCCUAUCUUGCUGAUAAGAUCCUAUAGAAUGGCCAAGCUUGAAGACAAAAGCUAAUUCUUAAAUGCAUAGCACUUUAGAGUAGUGUAAAAUCUGAUGUCAGUGGCUGGGAAAAUCUACUAUCAGAUUAUCAUUACAUAGGGCAAGUUUUUGGUUUUUUGUUUUGUUUUGUUGGUUUUUUGUUUUGUUUUUACCCUUUCCUCUAAAAAUAAUUGUUUUCAUAGUGAUUGGCUUUUUCAUUUGUAAAAAUAUCAGAUAUUCUGAAAAGCAUUAGACUGAUACCCAUGUCAUGUACCUUAGCUUAAAAAAUGUUUACAAAGACAACUUAAAUUCUGUCUCUCUGUCUUCCAAGAGUAACCACCCUCCAGACUUGUGGAGUUAGCACUCCUGGACCCUCCCUGUGCUUCUGCUCUGUCUGCAAGUAUCUGAAUCAUAAACACCAUUUUUUAUGGGUUUCAGAAUCUUAUAUAAAUGGUGUGAUGUAGCAAUGCCUUCUCUGGAUCUUGCUUUCUCGCUGUGAUCUUUACUUUGUUCCUGAGAUCUACCCACCUGCACAUGGUUCUAACUCAUUCACUUUAGCUCUUAUAUAUCACAGUCUAAGGAACAACUCCGAUUUCAGUUUCCUUCUCCCACUAAGGAAUUAGCUUUUUCUGUUUUCAUGUUUCUGACAGUGCUGAAACGCAUGCCUUCUUGAAUGUUCUGUGUCUAGGAAUAAAUACAGCAAUAAUCACAAAUUUUACUAGAUGUCACCAAUUUGCCCUCUAAAGUAAGUUUUUUGCUAAUUUGGAAUCCCAUCAGUAUAAGAUUACUCAUGCUUAACAUCUUUGCCAGUUUGGGUUGAUUAUUGUCUGUUGUUGGGAGUGGUGUGUGUGUGUGUGUGUGUGUGUGUGUGUGUGUGUGUGUGUGUUUGCCGAUUCUAUUAUGUGGAGCUACAUAACUGUGGUUUUAGGUUACAGUUUCUAGAAUCUAGUGGGAUAGAGCAUGUUAUACUUACUGGACCUCCAAACAUCACUGUUUUUUAAAUUGCCAAUGUAUGCAUGAUUUUUUUCUGUUUAGAAGAUUAACUUUCUCCUCUGACUUGUAGUUGAUUGUAGACAACAAGAAGCACACUGUUCAUUUGUUAGUUACUUGCUUUUUGCAAAUGUUCUCUGUGAACUUCAUUUUUCACGCUGUUUUCACAAACAUUUUUUACUGUGGUUGAAGUUAUCUUUCACUUUGCCUCAUUCUCUCAGUUUUGACUUUGGAGUCCUUCCUUACCCAAAAUUAAGAAACAUAGAUUUGCUGUAAUGGUCUGCCUUUUACAUCUUUUGUUCAUCAAUAUCCAGCUGCCUCUUUGCAAAUGUGACUAUCUGCUUAGUGAGUUGUUGGUUUUCUUUCCCAGUGACACUGAAUUCUUCAUUCCAACCCAAGCAGCAGGAAUCCCAUCAGGGUUAAUAGCCUAACAAAGUACACAUCUGUUUUGGGAUGGGCGGCACUCUGUGUGUGUGUGUGUGUGUGUGUGUGUGUGUGUAUUUUAAGAAUUUUAUUCAGAGCCUGUGCUACUUUAUUUAGCAAUGAGCGUCACUGCCUUCUCCUGUUAAGAGCAAAUGCUGGUUUUGGAAAGGAUUAAAACUCUUUGAGAAUGUGCUUGCUGAGAAAAUUAAAAAAUAAGUUUUGGGUUUAAUUUACAAUAAUGUAUAAUGGUUACAGUGGCAUGUCUUGUGAACACAAAGUAACCCUAAAAGCAGAAUAAAGAAAAACCAAUUUAAAAUAACAGUGGCCUCAAAUGUAUAUAAGGGCAUAAAACCUCCAUUGCUUUCAUUUGAAAGUUAAAUGCUGUGUUUCUAAGCUUGGUCUUCAUGACUUAACAAAGAACCCAGAUAUAUAAAUAG
rnacentral:lncRNA from 1 species